UACGUAGGGGGCAAGCGUUGUCCGGAAUCAUUGGGCGUAAAGCGCGCGUAGGCGGCCCGGUAAGUCCGUUGUAAAAGUCAAAGGCUCAACCUUUGAAAGCCGAUGGAUACUGCCGGGCUAGAAUCCGGAAGAGGCGAGUGGAAUUCCUGGUGUAGCGGUGGAAUGCGCAGAUAUCAGGAGGAACACCAACAGCGAAGGCAGCUCGCUGGGACGGUAUUGACGCUGAGGCGCGAAAGCGUGGGGAGCGAACAGG
rnacentral:rRNA from 1 species